AGGAUUAACGCUGGCGGCGUGCAUGAAACAUGCAAGUCGAGCGCGGUGUGAUGCGGGGUAACCCAAUUCACAUCUAGCGGCGAACGGGUGAGUAACACGUGAGCAACCUACCUUUGAGUUGGGGAUAGCCCUGGGAAACCAGGAUUAAUACCCGAUGUGGUCACAACAGGACAUCCUGAUGUGAGUAAAGGCGUAAGCCGCUCAAUGACGGGCUCGCGGCCUAUUAGCUUGUUGGUGGGGUAACGGCCUACCAAGGCGAUGAUGGGUAGCUGGUCUGAGAGGACGAUCAGCCACACUGGGACUGAGAAACGGCCCAGACUCCUACGGGAGGCAGCAGUGAGGAAUUUUCCGCAAUGGGCGAAAGCCUGACGGAGCGACGCCGCGUGUGGGAAGAAGGCCUUCGGGUCGUAACCACUGUCGAAGGGGACUAUAAUGAAUGUACCUUGGAGGAAGCCCCGGCUAACUACGUGCCAGCAGCCGCGGU
rnacentral:rRNA from 1 species